rnacentral:rRNA from 1 species
ACGGGAGGGCAGCAGUAGGGAAUAUUGCACAAUGGGGGGAACCCUGAUGCAGCAACGCCACGUGUGGGAAGAAGCAUUUCGGUGUGUAAACCACUGUCGUGAGGGAAUAAUGCUCGCUCUCGGGCGAGUUGAAUGUACCUCGAAAGGAAGCACCGGCAAACUUCGUGCCAGCAGCCGCGGUAAUACGAGGGGUGCAAGCGUUGUUCGGAAUCACUGGGCGUAAAGGGAGCGUAGGCGGAGGAGCAAGCAGUCUGUACAAUACCGGGGCCCAACCCCGGACCUGCAGACUGGACUGUUUCUCUUGGAUAGUUCAGGGGCUGGCGGAAUUCCUGGUGUAGCGGUGGAAUGCGUAGAGAUCAGGAAGAACACCGAUGGCGAAGGCAGCCAGCUGGGGACUCAUCGACGCUGAGGCUCGAAAGUGCGGGUAGCAAACAGGAUUAGAUACCCUGGUA